GAGUUUGAUCCUGGCUCAGGACGAACGCUGGCGGCGCGCUUAACACAUGCAAGUCGAGCGAGAACCUGUCCUUCGGGACAGGGACGAGCGGCGAACGGGUGGAGUAACACGUGGGUAAUCAACCCCUGGCUCCGGGAUAGCCCGAGGAAACUCGGAUUAAUACCGGAUGGCCCAACAGCUCUUCGGGGCGGUUGGAAAAGGUAGCUGCGGCCUCCGGCCAAGGACGAGCCCGCGGCGGAUUAGCUUGUUGGUGGGGUAACGGCCUACCAAGGCGACGAUCUGUAGCUGGUCUGAGAGGACGAUCAGCCACACUGGGACUGAGACACGGCCCAGACUCCUACGGGAGGCAGCAGUGGGGAAUCUUGCACAAUGGGCGCAAGCCUGAUGCAGCGACGCCGCGUGAGGGAGAAGGCUUUCGGGUUGUAAACCUCUUUCAGGAGGGACGAAGCGUCCUCGGGUUAAUAGCCCAGAGGGUGACGGUACCUCCAGAAGAAGCCCCGGCUAACUACGUAGCCAGCCGCCGCCGU
rnacentral:rRNA from 1 species